CUCUUCUGCCUCCUUUCAGCCUCCUGCUCUCUCUUCUGCCUCCUCUCAGCCUCCUGCUCUCUCUUCUGCCUCCUCUCAGCCUCCUGCUCUCUCUUCUGCCUCAUCUCAGCCUCCUGCUCUCUCUUCUGCCUCAUCUCAGCCUCCUCCACACACAUCGGUCUAUGAUUCAUCUCCCUUUAUGCAGCCAGGAGCAGGUGUCACAAGACGACAACAAGCUAUUAAACUUAAAAUGAAAGAAUGCAGAAAACACCGUCUACAAAAGAUAUUCCCUUAUGAAUGCAUCGUUGAUAGAAGACUUGUUAAUGGAAAAGAAGAAGUAAAAAUAAAGUGGACACCUUGCUCAACAUGUGGCAAAGUGUGGGACGACACCUGGGAGCCAGCCAAAGACUAUUCAUAGAAGAAGCAGUGUUCCUUGUCCUGUGGAAGCUCCAACUUUGUAUAAUAUCAAUCUUGUUUUAAGGAACAGUUUUUAUGUGACCUUGACUCAGAACGCAUCAAUAAAACCAUUGAACACUGUUGUAAAACAUUGCAAACUGAAUUGCAUCAAACAUAAUAAUAACUAACGAUAAAAUCAAUAGCUCAUUUAAACAAAGCGCACAGGAAAUGAAAGAGUACAUGUGCUUUGGUUUUGAUUAUGGUCACUAGACAAUUCCUGCAUUGACCAGGUAAGUAGAUGUAGGUAGAGAAUACUAGGCCUUGUCCUGAGAGGAAUCUAG